ACCAAAGGCCAUAACACCCUGAACACAUUUGAUCUCGUCUGAUCUCAGAAGCUAAGGAGGGUCGGGGUGGGUUGGUAAUUGGAUGGGAGAAAGAGCACAAUUAGUAGUGUGUA
ensembl:rRNA 5S_rRNA 5S ribosomal RNA